AUGCAAGUCGAACGAGAAUCUUUGAACAGAUCUUUUCGGAGUGACGUUCAAAGAGGAAAGUGGCGGACGGGCGAGUAACGCGUGAGUAACCUGCCCAUAAGAGGGGGAUAAUCCAUGGAAACGUGGACUAAUACCGCAUAUUGUAGUCAAGUCGCAUGACUAGAUUAUGAAAGAUUUAUCGCUUAUGGAUGGACUCGCGUCAGAUUAGAUAGUUGGUGAGGUAACGGCUCACCAAGUCAACGAUCUGUAGCCGAACUGAGAGGUUGAUCGGCCGCAUUGGGACUGAGACACGGCCCAGACUCCUACGGGAGGCAGCAGUGGGGAAUAUUGCGCAAUGGGGGCAACCCUGACGCAGCAACGCCGCGUGCAGGAAGAAGGUCUUCGGAUUGUAAACUGUUGUCGCAAGGGAAGAAGACAGUGACGGUACCUUGUGAGAAAGUCACGGCUAACUACGUGCCAGCAGCCGCGGUAAUACGUAGGUGACAAGCGUUGUCCGGAUUUACUGGGUGUAAAGGGCGCGUAGGCGGACUGUCAAGUCAGUCGUGAAAUACCGGGGCUUAACCCCGGGGCUGCGAUUGAAACUGACAGCCUUGAGUAUCGGAGAGGAAAGCGGAAUUCCUAGUGUAGCGGUGAAAUGCGUAGAUAUUAGGAGGAACACCAGUGGCGAAGGCGGCUUUCUGGACGACAACUGACGCUGAGGCGCGAAAGUGUGGGGAGCAAACAGGAUUAGAUACCCUGGUAGUCCACACCGUAAACGAUGGAUACUAGGUGUAGGAGGUAUCGACCCCUUCUGUGCCGCAGUUAACACAAUAAGUAUCCCACCUGGGGAGUACGACCGCAAGGUUGAAACUCAAAGGAAUUGACGGGGGCCCGCACAAGCAGUGGAGU
rnacentral:rRNA from 1 species